UGGAUUUGCCAUGUUGACUUCAUGCCACUGCGUGAUUUAAUGUUAUGACACAGUUUAGUUGAAAGAUGGAGUUUUAUUUAAUGCCUAAAGUUUAAAAGGUCAUUGCCAGCAGUUUCUUUAUAAUAUUGCUAGUUAAAAAUCAGUGGAGAGUGAAGAUCAGAGUUCGGGAGUCAAAAGAUCGAGGAAAGUCGAUUUCGAUGGUGAAACAGGUUUGACCUUGUUUGAUCCUCAUUCGGAAGGAAUUUGUUGACUGCUCAUGUUAAUCCCUGUGAAAUAGCAGAAAGGAUUGAGUACAGUUUUGUCAAGGAAAGCUUACCAGCUUCAAAUCUCAUCUUCCAGUCCUUACUAUUAAAGCUGCUGUCAAUGAUGCCCCAGAAUACAUCAGCGCCACGAGGAAGAGAAAGUGCAUGGAGAAACAAUGGCACCGCUACAGAGGCAAGCUUUUUUUUUUACAGAAGGUCAUGUAACUCCACACAGAUGGUCCCAAGCCCGGCUGUGAAAGAAGACAGAUUUGGGAACGGCAACCACAAACUGUAAAAACCCAGAGCUAUAAAGGUGCCAAAAGAAGCUACAAAGACCACAUUCCUGAGAGUAAGGAUCUUCAUUUAGAAUACAUUUAGAAGUCAUGGGUGAGUGUGCAAACCACAGGACUGAUCAACCUUCUAUCAGCUCAGGUCGGAGGCCUCUGGUGAGCUGUUAUUGGCUGCCGAUGUCCCUGUUGAGGCAAUAGGCUUAAAGAGAAGCAGGAAAUGAAGAAACAAAAUCAUGGAUUCAUUUUGAGUUUCUUGUUGAUUGGCUUGGGUAAUUUAGUUACUUCGGAAUUUCCUUUCUUUAGUCUCUAUGACCUGCAUAUCUAGUUAACUAAAUACAUGGAUUUCAGGGUUUAAUUACCAAUAAGUAUUUUAUGGUAAGUUUUAGAUUAAAUUAAUAGCUAACAGAGUGAAAGCCAUGACAUUUGCA